rnacentral:rRNA from 1 species
CCUACGGGUGGCAGCAGUGGGGAAUAUUGGACAAUGGGCGAAAGCCUGAUCCAGCCAUGCCGCGUGUGUGAAGAAGGCCUUCGGGUUGUAAAGCACUUUCAGUGGGGAAGAAAGCCUUGGGGCUAAUACCCUCGAGGAAGGACAUCACCCAUAGAAGAAGCACCGGCUAACUCCGUGCCAGCAGCCGCGGUAAUACGGAGGGUGCGAGCGUUAAUCGGAAUUACUGGGCGUAAAGCGCGCGUAGGCGGUCUGAUAAGCCGGUUGUGAAAGCCCCGGGCUCAACCUGGGAACGGCAUCCGGAACUGUCAGGCUAGAGUGCAGGAGAGGAAGGUAGAAUUCCCGGUGUAGCGGUGAAAUGCGUAGAGAUCGGGAGGAAUACCAGUGGCGAAGGCGGCCUUCUGGACUGACACUGACGCUGAGGUGCGAAAGCGUGGGUAGCAAACAGGAUUAGAUACCCCGGUAGUC